ensembl:snRNA U6 U6 spliceosomal RNA
GUGCUCGCUACGGCAGCACAUAUACUAAAAUCAGAACAAUACAGAGAUCAGCACGGCCCUUGCUCAAGGAUGACACAUAAAUUCAUGAAGCGUUCCAUAUUUAA